rnacentral:rRNA from 1 species
UACGGAGGAUCCAAGCGUUAUCCGGAUUUAUUGGGUUUAAAGGGUGCGUAGGCGGACCCUUAAGUCAGUGGUGAAAGUUCGCGGCUCAACCGUGAAAUUGCCAUUGAAACUGAGGGUCUUGAGUGUAAAUAAGGUAGGCGGAAUGUGUUGUGUAGCGGUGAAAUGCUUAGAUAUAACACAGAACACCAAUUGCGAAGGCAGCUUACUGGGAUACGACUGACGCUGAGGCACGAAAGCGUGGGGAUCAAACAGG